rnacentral:rRNA from 1 species
UUUGUGGGCAAGGUCUGGUGCCAGCAGCCCGGCGGUCAUUCCAGCUCCAAUAGCGUAUAUUAAAGUUGUUGCAGUUAAAAAGCUCGUAGUUGAAUUUCGGGGUCAGUAGGUUGGUCGUGCCACAGGUAUGAACUGGUCUCACUGAUUCCUCCUUCCUGAUGAACCGUAAUGCCAUUAAUUUGGUGUUGCGGGGAGACUGGACUGUUACUUUGAAAAAAUUAGAGUGUUUAAAGCAGGCUAACGCUUGAAUACAUUAGCAUGGAAUAAUGAAAUAGGACGUUCGGUCUUAUUUUGUUGGUUUCUAAGAUUGACGUAAUGAUUAAUAGGGAUAGUUGGGGGCAUUAGUAUUCAAUUGUCAGAGGUGAAAUUCUUGGAUUUAUUGAAGACUAACUACUGCGAAAGCAUUUGCCAAGGAUGUUUUCAUUAAUCAAGAACGAAAGUUAGGGGAUCGAAGACGAUCAGAUACCGUCGUAGUCUUAACCAUAAACUAUGCCGACUAGGGAUCGGAUGAUGUUACCCAGCCUUUUUUAAUGACUCAUUCGGCGCUAACCGGAAAAACA